GCACAUACAUCGUCGCCGGCGCUGGCGCCGUCGCCGCCAACAGCAUGGACGCCGCCUUCGUCUUCGUUGGCUCCUUCCUUUUAUGCACCAGGGUCAAUUAGCCUCCCCGCUCUCGUCAUCCCCCGCGUAGCGAUGGACAACGGAGGAGCAGCGAGGAGGCCCUGCUGCUGAUGCGGCACCAUAGCGGGAAGCGGCAGCGAGUGUGGUACUGAGGAGGCCAGCUCGAGCGCGCUAGACGCUGCGUUCGAGAGGCACGACCAGGCCAUACAGGAAGCGGUCGCUGGCAACGCCGUGGAUCGCCCAAGGGCUUCGUCAGCGACGACUCCGGCCUCCUCGCGGCCCGAUCUGCACGCCCCUGUACAGACCGCGAGCGGCACCUUCCUCCACCAACUCUAACUGCCUCGCUGCUCGGACGCCCACCACCAGUUCGACGAGUUGCACAAGCAAAGCAGCCGCGUCUGCACUCACCUCGGCCCCAGCACCAACUUCGCCUACGACUUCUGGCAGCGGCGUCCCAGAGCUCGUUCAACCUUGUGGUAGAUGAUGAUGCCACCAACACCAAUGGUGGUGCUACACCGACGCCCACCAUCCGCUCGACGGGAUCUUUCUCUAUUCUUUUGAAGAAUUUUCACCCCAAGUAUCUUGCAGCGUCCGAGUACUCGUCAUUGGCAAGAGUGUUACUCUUCUUUUCUAUGGAAAUUCAACCAUUGAAAGGACCAAUGGAGCAAUGAGGUUCAUUGUUGCACUCAGGAUUGCAAGGUUUCCUAUCAUGUCACCAUAUGUAUACUUCAAUUACAACAGAUCUAUCAACAUCAAAUUAUUUCAGGAUAAAAUUCAGCUGUGCACCAUAGACCAUGUUUUUUAAUCCACCAUAGACUAUGUUGUUCUACAUGGUCAUACACAUAUCCAGGCAGCAAGAUCAGUUAUGGAUAGAAUGAGUUCCUCCCUACUCUCAGCAAUGCAUGGAACAUUCUAAUAGGAUUGACCCCAAUAUUGUUAACCUCUUCAGGUUCAACUUUGCGGCAGGAAAUUUCAUCCCGUUGAUGAUAUUAUGGCGCGAUACCUUUGCCCCAUACUGCCAAUGCUAAAUAACUUAAGUUAUCUUCAUUAUAUCCUUCUUUAUGUUUAUGUUGCUCAUUUUUCUUCUUAUGGUUAUGUUUGUAUCUUAUUCAUGUGAUAAUGUUUGAAAGCAUCAAAUAAUCUGCUGCUAUCCUCUAAAUGUAGUUGAUACAUGUCCUGUGUCAUAUUUAAUAUUAUAGUUUUCUUUCAUUGGGUUCUCUGGCAUAAACUAUUCUCUACCCUCUUUGAUUCUCUUCCUAUUUCGCUGAGUAUAUUUUGAUCUGUAUGUGUGGGUCCAAAGUUUGUCUUUACAAUCAUGGAGAAGUAUAAAGCUGCUUAACCUGGUGGCAUGUUAAAAUGAUCUAGUGCAACCUUGUUACACCUUCUAUUACUGGUUGCACGACUAAACUCCUUAAGUACUGCAGGCCCAGUAUGACCAUUCAGAUAAGUUUGGAAAUCUUCAAGGGAAACCAAAUGAUAGCUGAAGUAACUCAUUUCAGGUAUAAUACUGCAAGCUGCAUUUUGUUUGUCAAGUAAGAGUGAAUUUGCGGUCUUUUCUCUUCUAAGCUGCCCUGAAGGAGGAACACCGGCAGAGCAAGAUGGGGUAACACUACUAUUUGAUGCAUAAGUUUGAAGCUCAGUUCCGUCCUGGUCUGUGAAGAAGGCAAAAUGAGGUAGCAUUGCUUUUGUCAAAGGAUGAUUCCUCUAUGGAUGCAGACACCAAUGCCACGAGAGGUGAAGAUGCUUCAUUGCUGGUUUAUGUAAGUGGUUCACAUGAGUAUGAGUAUCUUUGAUCUCCGGAACAACGAGGAGUCUCAAAUUAGCAAGCACACACAGAAAAGUAUCCAAGCUGAUGAACCUGCAGGAAUAUGUUAUAUUUGUCAGGCCAUAUAAUGGUGGCAAACCCUUGAGAAGAACUGAAGUGUUGUCCGUCCAUAUAAUGGUCUACUUGCCAAUUGCAAAUGUCAAUGCAGAUGGCCAAAUGAUAAUGAAGAGAAGCAGUAGCAUCAGAAGAUGUUCCGAAGCUGCAAUAUCAUUGACAUGGACGCUUUGUCAGAUACGCAAGACAACCAACUGGGUCAUUGUAUUUAGCAAAAAAAAUUGAAAUUAAAAAACAAAAAGCCAGGCCCUAAUGUCUAGGGCAUGCCACCACAGGAAGAUGCAAUUGCGCUAUUUUUUUUACGACUGUGCAUCCCGCUAUCUGGGGAAGAUCUUUU